rfam:Thermosinus carboxydivorans Nor1 ctg54, whole genome shotgun sequence.
CAACCCGGGCCGAGAGGUCCGGCUGAGCCGGCAGGAGUCAGCAGAGGGCAGACCUCGAGAAAUUAUUUGCC